UACGUAGGUCCCGAGCGUUAUCCGGAUUUAUUGGGCGUAAAGCGAGCGCAGGCGGUUAGAUAAGUCUGAAGGGAAAGGCUGUGGCUUAACCAUAGUAUGCUUUGGAAACUGUUUAACUUGAGUGCAGAAGGGGGGAGUGGAAUUCCAUGUGUAGCGGUGAAAUGCGUAGAUAUAUGGAGGAACACCGGUGGCGAAAGCGGCUCUCUGGUCUGCAACCGACGCUGAGGCUGGAAAGCGUGGGGAGCAAACAUG
rnacentral:rRNA from 1 species